GAUGAACGCUGGCGGCGUGCUUAACACAUGCAAGUCGAACGGAAAGGCCCAAGCUUGCUUGGUUACUCGAGUGGCGCACGGGUGAGUAACACGUGGGUGUUCUGCCCUGCACUUCGUGAUAAGCCUGGGAAACUGGGUCUAAUACCGGAUAUGAUCUCAUUUUGGAUGGUGUUCUGGAAAGUUUUUCGGUGUUGGAUGAGCUCGCGGCCUAUCCGCUUGCUGGUGGGGUACUGGCCUACCAAGGCGUCGACGGGUAGCCGGCCUGAGAGGGUGUACGGACACAUUGGGACUGAGAGAGGGGCCAGAGUACUACGGGAGGCAGCAGGGGGGAAUAUUGGACAAUGGGAGCAAGCGUGAGGGAGCGACGCCGCGUGGGGGAUGACGGCGGUCGGGUGGUAAACACAAAUCGCUAGGGAAGAAGCGAUUUUGUGACGGUACCUGGAGAAGAAGCAACGGCUAACUACGUG
rnacentral:rRNA from 1 species